rnacentral:rRNA from 1 species
GACGAACGCUGGCGGCGUGCCUAAUACAUGCAAGUCGAACGAAGCUGUUUUAACUGGUGCUUGCACCGACUUAAACAACUGAGUGGCGAACGGGUGAGUAACACGUGGGUAACCUGCCCCAAAGCGGGGGAUAACAUUUGGAAACAGAUGCUAAUACCGCAUAAUCACAGAAACCACAUGGUUUCUGUGUCAAAGAUGGUUUCGGCUAUCACUUUGGGAUGGACCCGCGGCGUAUUAGCUAGUUGGUAAGGUAAUGGCUUACCAAGGCAAUGAUACGUAGCCGAACUGAGAGGUUGAUCGGCCACAUUGGGACUGAGACACGGACCAAACUCCUACGGGAGGCAGCAGUAGGGAAUCUUCCACAAUGGACGAAAGUCUGAUGGAGCAACGCCGCGUGAGUGAAGAAGGUUUUCGGAUCGUAAAACUCCGUUGUCAGAGAAGAACGUGUGCGAGAGUAACUGUUCGUGCAGUGACGGUAUCUGGCCAGAAAGCCACGGCUAACUACGUGCCAGCCGCCGCCGUAA